GAUGAACGCUGGCGGCGUGCCUAAUACAUGCAAGUCGAGCGAACGGACGAGAAGCUUGCUUCUCUGAUGUUAGCGGCGGACGGGUGAGUAACACGUGGAUAACCUACCUAUAAGACUGGGAUAACUUCGGGAAACCGUAGCUAAUACCGGAUAAUAUUUUGAACCGCAUGGUUCAAAAGUGAAAGACGGUCUUGCUGUCACUUAUAGAUGGAUCCGCGCUGCAUUAGCUAGUUGGUAAGGUAACGGCUUACCAAGGCAACGAUGCAUAGCCGACCUGAGAGGGUGGUCGGCCACACUGGAACUGAGACACGGCCCAGACUCCUACGGGAGGCAGCAGUAGGGAAUCUUCCGCAAUGGGCGAAAGCCUGACGGAGCAACGCCGCGUGAGUGAUGAAGGUCGUCGGAUCGUAAAGAUCUGUUAUUGGGGAAGAAGAUAUGUGUAAGUAACUGUGCACAUCUUGACGGUACCUAAUCAGAAAGCCACGGCUAACUACGUG
rnacentral:rRNA from 1 species